GUGGGGAAUCUUCCGCAAUGGACGAAAGUCUGACGGAGCGACGCCGCGUGAGUGAAGAAGGCCUUCGGGUCGUAAAGCUCUGUCAUCAGGGACGAACGGCCGGUGGAGUGGAAAGCCACCGGAUUGACGGUACCUGAGAAGGAAGCCACGGCUAACUACGUGCCAGCAGCCGCGGUAAUACGUAGGUGGCAAGCGUUGUCCGGCAUUAUUGGGCGUAAAGCGCGCGCAGGUGGGAUCUUAAGUCCAUUUUUAAAGUUCGGAGCUCAACUCCGUGAUGGGAUGGAAACUGGGAUUCUUGAGUACCGGAGAGGAAAGCGGAAUUCCCCGUGUAGCGGUGAAAUGCGUAGAUAUGGGGAGGAACACCAGUGGCGAAGGCGGCUUUCUGGACGGUGUCUGACACUGAGGCGCGAAAGCCAGGGGAGCGAACGGGAUUAGAUACCCGAGUAGUCC
rnacentral:rRNA from 1 species